AUACUUACCUGGCAGGGGAGAUACCGUGAUCAAGAAGGCGGUUCACCCAGGGCGAGGCUCAGCCCUGCGAAUUUCCCCAAUGUGGGAAUCUCGACAGCAUCAUUUCUGGUAGUGGGGCACUGUGUUCACGCUCUCCCCUG
ensembl:snRNA U1 U1 spliceosomal RNA